CAAGAACAGAGUUAGCCCUUCCGAUUUGUGUGUGGAGGGCGGAACAAGCUGGCCGACGGAGGGAACAAAGGACGAUUGAGUUAACAAAUAUGAAAAUAGCCUCCUCUACUUAGCCCCGUCUGCAGCCACGAUGUCAAAGCGACCAUCCUACGCCCCUCCCCCUCCCCCUGCUCCCACCACACAAUUGCCUACCGCCCCAGGGUUUGUGGGAUACAACCCUUACAGCCAUCUGGCCUACAACAACCUCCGGCUGGGAGGGAGCUCCGGAGGCUCCAGCAGGGUAAUGAACUGACGGAUGGAUUUGGAGAAAAUAAUCAGAAAAGGGGUUGGGUGUAGGAUUGGAGGGAGGGUAGAUAGAAAGAGUCUUGGGCUAGAUAUAUGGGCACAUCCAUGGGGAAAGG